rnacentral:rRNA from 1 species
GACGAACGCUGGCGGCGUGCCUAAUACAUGCAAGUCGAACGCAGUGGGGACUGGUGAGUAACACGUGGGUAACCUCCCAUCAGAGGGGAUAACACUUGGCAACAGGUGCUAACCCGCUACUGAUGUAUGAACCCGCGGUGCAUUAGCUAGUUGGUGAGGUAACGGCUCACCAAGGCCACGAUGCAUAGCGGGGAUGAGAGGGUGAUCGGCCACACUGGAACUGAGACACGGACCAGACGCCUACGGGAGGCAGCAGUGGGGAAGCUUGGGCAAUGGACGAAAGUCUGACCGAGAAACGCCGCGUGAGUGAAGAAGGUAUUCGGAUCGUAAAACGCUGUUGGUAGAGAAGCGGUAUCUAACCAGAAAGCCACGGCUAACUACGUGCCAGCAGCCGCGGUAAUAC